UGCCUUGAGUCCUGAUUUGGUGUGGC
rnacentral:piRNA from 1 species